UACGAGGGGGGCGAGCGUUGUUCGGAAUUAUUGGGCGUAAAGGGUGCGUAGGUGGGCAGGUAAGUCAGUGGUGAAAUCUCCGGGCUUAACCCGGAACUGCCGUUGAUACUAUUUGUCUUGAAUAUUGUGGAGGUAAGCGGAAUAUGUCAUGUAGCGGUGAAAUGCUUAGAUAUGACAUAGAACACCAAUUGCGAAGGCAGCUUACUACACAACGAUUGACGCUGAGGCACGAAAGCGUGGGGAUCAAACAGG
rnacentral:rRNA from 1 species